rnacentral:rRNA from 1 species
CCUACGGGAGGCAGCAGUGAGGAAUAUUGGGCAAUGCCCGCAAGGGGUGACCCAGCAACGCCGCGUGGAGGAUGAAGGCCGUAAGGUUGUAAACUCCUGUUAGAGGAGAAGAAUAGUACCGAUUGGAUCGGUAUUUGACUGUACCCUCAGAGAAAGCCCCGGCUAACUACGUGCCAGCAGCCGCGGUAAUACGUAGGGGGCAAGCGUUGUCCGGAUUUACUGGGUGUAAAGGGCGCGCAGGCGGGAUAGCAAGUCAGAGGUGAAAUCCUACAGCUUAACUGUAGAACUGCCUUUGAUACUGUUAUUCUUGAGUUCGGGAGAGAGAGACGGAAUUCCAGGUGUAGUGGUGAAAUACGUAGAUAUCUGGAAGAACACCAGUUGCGAAGGCGGUCUCUUGGUCCGAUACUGACGCUGAGGCGCGAAAGCGUGGGGAGCAAACAGGAUUAGAUACCCCGGCAGUCCUAGCCGUAAACGAUGGGCACUAGGUGUGGGAGGUAUCGACCCCUUCCGUGCCGCAGCUAACGCAUUAAGUGCCCCGCCUGGGGAGUAUGGCCGCAAGGCUGAAACUUAAAGGAAUUGACGG